CUUCUAACAAGAUUUCUCUCUUUUGUUUUUUUUUAAAUAAAUUUUAGUUUAGUUCAUAAAAAUUGGUUGUAGCAUGUAUUUGGGAAAGAUCUGGAAUAUUCAAUAACCUGGAAGGAAUAUGUCCAAUCCUUUGGGAUUGGUAGAACCUUUUCUU